rnacentral:rRNA from 1 species
GUACAUCCAGAGAAUUUAGCAGAGAUGCUUUAGUGCCUUCGGGAACUCUGAGACAGGUGCUGCAUGGCUGUCGUCAGCUCGUGUUGUGAAAUGUUGGGUUAAGUCCCGCAACGAGCGCAACCCUUAUCCUUUGUUGCCAGCACGUAAUGGUGGGAACUCAAAGGAGACUGCCGGUGAUAAACCGGAGGAAGGUGGGGAUGACGUCAAGUCAUCAUGGCCCUUACGAGUAGGGCUACACACGUGCUACAAUGGCGCAUACAAAGAGAAGCGACCUCGCGAGAGCAAGCGGACCUCAUAAAGUGCGUCGUAGUCCGGAUUGGAGUCUGCAACUCGACUCCAUGAAGUCGGAAUCGCUAGUAAUCGUAAAUCAGAAUGUUACGGUGAAUACGUUCCCGGGCCUUGUACACACCGCCCGUCACACCAUGGGAGUGGGUUGCAAAAGAAGUAGAUAGCUUAACCUUCGGGAGGGCGUUUACCACUUUGUGAUUCAUGACUGGGGUGAAGUCGUAACAAGGUAAGCGUAGUGCU